UCAUGUCAGCCUCCACCACGAGGACAGGGGAGCGGUUCCAUAGGCAGGAACUGCAUGGACCAGAAAAUUGGCCAGCUGUUUGUGCGUCCAAAGGCAAGUUAAGUGGCUACCUUCUCCUGGAACUUCAAAUUACCUGAUCGGGUUUAAUACUUCUAAGUUCACCUGAGGAAGUCUUAAUCAUGAUCACACUACACAGACUGCAGACUACUAUAAAAAAUAGAUGAUGGGCUCGUGGGAUAUGAAGAAGGAAGGCUGAUGAAGACAUCCGGCAAGUAUCUGCCUACCUUCCUGUUGCUUGAAACAACAUUUGACUCAAGAUUGGAUAAAGUUUAUUUAAAGCAGCAACUUAUUUGAUUCAAAUGGAUUUGAGAGUCAAUGCAAACAUUCAACAGAGUUCUAAUUACCAGUCUCCUGCCUACAUUAUCCUAGCAUCUGAAUCAAAAUAAAUCUGAUGGACUAUAAUAAAAUACUUGGCAGAAUUUUUGUGUUACAACAAUGUCCUCUUCGGUUCCACUGAGAUUCCUUAAGUGCAAACUGAUAUUGUUCCAUGGGAUACUUCCAGCAGGCAAGAUUUGUAUUUCUCAUGAUAAAAAAAAAAAAAGGCAAGACAGAGGAAGGGAGAAAGGCCAAUACUGAAUAGUUCAGUUUCAUCCAGAUUAAAGUGAAAUUAAAUGGUAUCUUUGUUGUUAUUUCAGUAUGUUACA